ensembl:lncRNA
CUCUGCCAGUGAAGGUACUGUUAAACAAACGUGUCCACAGACAGAUAUCCUCUGCCAGUGAAGGUACUGUUAAACAAACGUGUCCACAGACAGAUAUCAUCUGCCAGUGAAGGUACUGUUAAACAAACGUGUCCACAGACAGAUAUCCUCUGCCAGUGAAGGUACUGUUAAACAAACGUGUCCACAGACAGAUUGAAUCUGAGACUAGAUAUGACUGUAUAGCAGUGUACUAUGAGUCCCAAGACAGACUUCUUCCUGUGAAUGGCUUAAUCAUGUAUACAGUGUGUGCUUGAUCCCUUUCUGUAUUUUCCCAGAUUGUUUUUCCAGCUCAAACAUGUCGUAGGUUUCUUCCAUGGAACCUAAACUGUAGGAUUUCAUUUUCAGUUCUACUUUCCAACCCAAUCGUUUAAACAUACCAACAUGGCAGCAGGUUUGCAGGUCUAUGAGUCAUGGUGAAAUUGCAUGAAAUGGGGAAGUCGUGUGUGUGUGUGUGUGUGCGUGUGUGCGUGUGUGCGUGCGUGUGUGCGUGCGCUCCAGGGCCACAGGCAGGUUUGUGCAGGUAUUCAUAUCCCUUAACGCCAAUUAAUAUCAACUGUUGCUGCUACAGCAUGGCAUUCCAAGAAGUGUAAAAUGCAAACCAUACACUCUGGCUAACCCACUUCUCUGUCUCUCUCUACCUUUCCCUCUCUUGAUAUUUCUCCCCCUAACUCUGUUUUUCUUCUUACUGUCUUCCACUUUCUCCUUUGCUUUCUUUCUCUGCCUCUCUCUCACUU